GGUUGGGCGUUAGCUUUCAAGGAUUAUUUCUUCUGGGGUGAGAAGAA
rnacentral:ncRNA from 2 species